AUUGAACGCUGGCGGCAUGCCUAACACAUGCAAGUCGAACGGCAGCGCGGGGUAAACCCUGGCGGCGAGUGGCGGACGGGUGAGGAAUGCAUAGGAAUCUGCACGGUUGUGGGGGAUAACGUAGGGAAACUUAAGCUAAUACCGCAUACGAACUUCGGGUGAAAGUGGGGGACCUUCGGGCCUCACGCGAUCGGAUGAGCCUAUGCCCGAUUAGCUAGUUGGCGGGGUAAGAGCCCACCAAGGCGACGAUCGGUAGCUGGUCUGAGAGGAUGAUCAGCCACACUGGGACUGAGACACGGCCCAGACUCCUACGGGAGGCAGCAGUGGGGAAUAUUGGACAAUGGGCGCAAGCCUGAUCCAGCAAUGCCGCGUGUGUGAAGAAGGCCUUCGGGUUGUAAAGCACUUUUGUUCGGGAAGAAAUCCGUGUGGUUAAUACCCGUACGGGAUGACGGUACCGAAAGAAUAAGCACCGGCUAACUUCGUG
rnacentral:rRNA from 1 species